GCUACGGGUGGCUGCAGUGGGGAAUAUUGCACAAUGGGGGAAACCCUGAUGCAGCGACGCCGCGUGAGUGAAGAAGUAUCUCGGUACGUAAAGCUCUAUCAGCCGGGAAGAAAAUGACGGUACCUGACUAAGAAGCCCCGGCUAAAUACGUGCCAGCAGCCGCGGUAAUACGUAUGGGGCACGCGUUAUCCGGAUUUACUGGGUGUAAAGGGAGCGUAGGCGGCCUGCCAAGUCUGGUGUGAAAACCCGGGGCCCAACCCCGGGCCUGCAUUGGAAACUGGCGGGCUGGAGUGUCGGAGGGGUAGGCGGAAUGCCUGGUGUAGCGGUGAAAUGCGUAGAUAGUAGGAGGAACACCGGUGGCGAAGGCGGCCUGCUGGACGAUGACUGACGCUGAGGCUCGAAAGCGUGGGGAGCAAACAGGAUUAGAUACCCCAGUAGUC
rnacentral:rRNA from 1 species